CUACGGGAUGCACCAGUGGGGAAUAUUGCACAAUGGGCGCAAGCCUGAUGCAGCCAUGCCGCGUGUAUGAAGAAGGCCUUCGGGUUGUAAAGUACUUUCAGCGGGGAGGAAGGGAGUAAAGUUAAUACCUUUGCUCAUUGACGUUACCCGCAGAAGAAGCACCGGCUAACUCCGUGCCAGCAGCCGCGGUAAUACGGAGGGUGCAAGCGUUAAUCGGAAUUACUGGGCGUAAAGCGCACGCAGGCGGUUUGUUAAGUCAGAUGUGAAAUCCCCGGGCUCAACCUGGGAACUGCAUCGGAUACUGGCAAGCUUGAGUCUCGUAGAGGGGGGUAGAAUUCCAGGUGUAGCGGUGAAAUGCGUAGAGAUCUGGAGGAAUACCGGUGGUGAAGGCGGCCCCCUGGACGAAGACUGACGCUCAGGUGCGAAAGCGUGGGGAGCAAACAGGAUUAGAUACCCCGGUAGUC
rnacentral:rRNA from 1 species